CCCGCCCCGGACCCUCCCGGACGGCGGCGUUGAAAAGGGGAAGCCGCCGAUCCGCCCCUUCCCCCCCGGGACCUCCGAGACCCCCCCGGGACCACCGGAGUCGGUAGGAGCCGCCCCGCCCCUUCACGGGAGGGAGGGAGGGGGGAGGGGGAGGCGGUGUCGCCGUGGAAACCCCGCCCCGGCGCGCCUGGGCCUGGAGGGGUCGCGACCGGAAGUGACGUAACGGGCGGGGGGGGCCGCACGGAGGGAGGGAGUUGCCGGUAGGGGGCGCGCUGGGACCCCGAGUUAGGCCGCGCCCCCUCUUUCCAGGUCACGCCCCCCGAUCUGGCCACGCCCCCUAUUUCCCAGGAUCGUGAUUGGCCGUGGAGGACAUGGAUGGGGCGGAGCCAGCCAAUGGGGAAGCGGCGGUUAACCGAGCAGCCAAUGAGAGUGGAGACGCUGUAGAAGCAGCGGCCAAUGAGCAGCGAGCAGCUGGAGGUUCCUCCAAUAGGGAUGGAGGGAGCCUGGGGACGGCCAAUGAGGAGCUCGGGCCGGCUGGUGCAACAUCCAAUGGGAAUCUGCCGCUUCAGGGCUCGUCCAAUGAGGGGAAGGGGAGCCCUGGCUCAUCCAAUGAGCAGCCAGCCCUGGGGGACUCGGCCAAUGAGGACGGAGGAGGUCAGCAUGGCCCGGCCAAUGAGGAGGCAGAGCCACAGGACCUGACCAAUGAGGCCAAAGGGCCACAGGAGCCAGCCAAUGAGGGCGCAGAACACAAAGCCUCAGCCAAUGAGGUUGCAGCAGCAGCACAAGCCCCGCGCAACAACGAUGCAGCAGCACACGGGCCAGCCAAUGAGGAGGCAGCACCUGGAGCCGCAGCCAAUGAGGACAGCGCCCUCCCGUCACCGACCAAUGGCAGGGCAGAACCCAGGGAUCCACCCAGCGCCUGCCCCGCCCCCUCCGACCCUCCCUCCAGUCAGCACGCGGCCCCGCCGGAUCCAGCCAAUGGGCUGCAAGCCCUCCCUGCCCCGCCCACCAGGACCAGAGACCCCUGGGAUUGGUCGCUGGAGGAGGCGUGGCUUCGCGCGCCGGAGGGGGAGUGGCUUGAGGAGUUUGGGGAGGGGCCUGAGGGGCUGGAGGAGGACGAGGGGGAAGACGAGGAGGAGGAGGAGGAUGAGGAGGAGGAUGAGGAGGAGGAGGAAGGGCAGCACUGGUGGCACAGCCCCGACGGCGCCAUCUCCAAGCGGAUCCUGCGCCGGGGCCGCGGCCUCUCCCGGCCCGGCCCCGG
rnacentral:lncRNA from 1 species